rnacentral:rRNA from 1 species
AUUGAACGCUGGCGGCAUGCUUUACACAUGCAAGUCGAACGGUAGAGGGGGGCAACCCCCUUGAGAGUGGCGAACGGGUGAGUAAUAUAUCGGAACGUGCCCAGUCGUGGGGAUAACGUAGCGAAAGUUACGCUAAUACCGCAUACGAUCUAAGGAUGAAAGCGGGGGACUCGCAAGAGCCUCGCGCGAUUGGAGCGGCCGAUAUCAGAUUAGGUAGUUGGUGAGGUAAAGGCUCACCAAGCCGACGAUCUGUAGCUGGUCUGAGAGGACGACCAGCCACACUGGGACUGAGACACGGCCCAGACUCCUGCGGGAGGCAGCAGUGGGGAAUUUUGGACAAUGGCGCAAGCCUGAUCCAGCAAUGCCGCGUGCAGGAUGAAGGCCUCGGUUGUAACGUAGC